AUCACCCUAACCUGAGAAUUGUGACCUUGAGAACUUGCCUUAAUGUAGCUGCCGGUCAAAGUCGCGGCUCUCUCUCUCUCUCUCUCUCUCUCUCUCUCUCUCUCUCUCUCUCUCUCUCUCUCUCUCUCUCUCUCUCUCUCUCUCUCUCUCUCUCUCUUCAUCCACACCAUUUUCGUCUCCUCUUUCCUCUCUAAUCACUCAAACUGUAAGAGAGCAAAGUCCAUUCAACCUCCGCCACCAAGAGAUGUCGCUACACUCACCACACGGAUACACUCGUCACCUCCUCACUGCAGUACACGUGUCUUGAAUUCUUCCAUCCCUUUUCCUCCUCCUCUUCUGUCCCUCCCUCUCUGUGAUACAUGCUUCACCUUCGGCCUUACAACCCUUAUCGCCCCUUCAUUGAUAACACCGAUUGAGCGGAAAACAAUAAUACCCAGCGACUAAGAUUGAUAAUUAGUGUUUUUUUUUCUUUGUGUGUGUCAUGUGGAAGAGAUAUUGUCCUCACGUAACUGGAGGAUAGUAGGGCAGGAGAGGAUAAGGGCAUGGUUAAGAGUAAAGAAGAAGUGCAUGCAGGAGGGGAGGAAUGAGGGAUGAGGUGAAAGAUACUGUUAUUAGGUGAGAUGUUAAUGGGUGAUGUAAUAUAUAUGCUGCGACGAGAGGUGAAGUAGUGGAGAGAAGAAACAAACAAAUCCAUCACUUAGUCUCAUUCGCCUAUCUCUUCAUCUUCCCCCUUCACUACCACCACCACCACCACCACCACCACCACCAGCAUCGCCACAGUACACGUGAUGCUGAUAAGUGUUCACACACCUCCACGUUUGCAUAAUUACCCCCCGUCCUCCAGCUCCUCCUCCUGCUCCUCCUCCUCCUCCUCCUCCUCCUCCUUCUUCUCUUCCCCUACGACGUCAGAUUAUGGUGUUUUGAUUACUUUACAUCUUUACGAUUCACUAAAUUUGAGUCACCGGCCGCUGUCUGUGUAGGUGGAGUGUGCAGUUAAGGGUUAGUUGACCAGAGAGAGAGAGAGAGAGAGAGAGAGAGAGAGAGAGAGAGAGAGAGAGAGAGAGAGAGAGAGAGAGAGAGUUUGGUAUGGAUAUGCUAGGUUAAGUUAUACAAAAUGGUUUAGUUGGGGUGGGUUACAUCAGGUUAGGGUUGGUUUGGACAAGUUUGAUUAGGCCAGGUUAAGUUUGGUUUGGGUAAGUUCAGUCAGGUAAGGCCGUCCAAGGAUACACACACACACACACACACACACACACACACACACACACACACACACACACACACACACACACACACACACACACACACACACACACACACACACACACACACACACACACACACACACUCAUACAAAAAAAAGAGAGAAAAUUCCGUUUAUAUACCACUCCUGAAAAAAAAAUGUAGAAACUAUGAAUGAAAUUAAGUGAAUUAAAGACAAAAGUUAGAUUUUUUUUUUCCUUUCAUAACAAACACAAAGCAGCAUUUAUUUGAUUUAACACUCUACUGAUGCGUGGCGCCGCGGGGACCUGGCUACAGCUUCAUGACCUUUCCAUAGUCCUGCGGGAAGACAAUGAAUGAAAAUGAAUACAAACAAACAGUAUAUACACAAACAAACGGAUAGCCAUCGCCUCCCGGUAAUAAAUACUGGGAAAUGCGUAAUGAUUAAGUUGUCACGUUCUUGAUCAUAUUCUGAAGCACAUCCACGCUGCACCUCCACUACAUUCAAAAGGCUUUAGCUGAAGUUGCACAGGUUUUUUUAAAUGUUCUUUUUUUAUGGUUCUGGUGGCAUAUUAACAAGAUUUCUGUGUGAUUAAGAGGAGAAACAUUAUUGAGAACCCAGCAGAUCAUCUUUGUAGCCUUUGAGAAUAGUCGUGGUGAGAGAACAAGAGCGUUUCAGAAUACUGGGUUUAUUUAUUUCUGUCAACUGUUCCAUCGUCUGAGGAUUAAGGUAGCGGCGCGUGGGGUGGCGGUGUACAUUCAAGGUCAGAAUUAAGUAAGAUUUUUCAGUUACUUGUCUGUUUCUUGUUUUCCCACAGUUUUGAGUCAUUUGAUGUACUAAUAGUCUAUGGGAGAUUAGAUGAAUGUCAGAAGUUAAGUAAGAUUUUUUUAAUUACCUCUGUUUCGUGUUUUCCCACAGUUUUAAGUCCUCUGAUGUACUAACAGUCUAUGGGAGAUUAGGGGAAGAGAUUAUCAGAAAAUGAAAGGAUUUGAGAAAGAAUAAAAGGGUCAUAAACAGUGAAAAUGAAUUACAGUACACUACAUUACUCAACUACUGACGAAGGAGAUUUAAUAAAGAAACCACCUCGCUAUUGACCAACACUCUAUCACACGUCACUGUAUUUACCCUACUGCACGUCACAUCACCUUUCAUCGCGACAUGUGCAGUGUGGUAUCUGUCAGGUGCGCCGCGUGACCACCAUCCACGUGGGGGCAGCCAGGUGGUCACGUGAUGAUGCACGAGAAGCCGAAAGUCAGUUGCCAGGCGAUGGAUUCAGAUUGGAGAGGAGGCCAAUCCGCUAUGCCAUGCCGCGUGCUAACACUCCAGGGCACUGACGAGGGAUCUGGCUCACCGUCCUCUCACUCACCAUUGUCUUAAGCUGCUGAGAGAGACCAGGAGAGACCAUUGGCGGAGAUGCAGUGGUCUCCUCUCCUCCUGUGCCCUGGAAUGGAGGUUAUAGGGAGGAACGAAGCCAGAGCAGGGAGAGGUGGUGAAGGGAAGAAAUGAUGGGAAUGAAAGUGCCUGCCAGGAAUUUUGGGAAUGUCUCUGGAUUUAAUUAAAGGAGUCGAUUUUAGUUUAGUGUUAUUGUUAAGAGCUUUUUUCUUCUUACUGUUGAAAAGAAGAGAGUGUGAAGUGUGAAGUGUAGGAGUGGGAAAGGAAGUACAUUUUAGAUAUAUGAGGUUUAGGGUUGAAACUCCGGAGAAGAAUGUUUGAUAUUUGAAGUUUAGGAUUGAAAAGAGGAGUACAGUGUGUUUGAUAUCUGAAGCUUAGGUUUGAAACAGGAAUUUUAAAAGAUCAGACUUGAAAAGCGAUGAUAGAUUUAGUAUGAAACUGUGUUUAAACUGUCAGAUAUCGGAUGGGAAAGAUAAAAAAGAAUAUAUGUAUAUAUAUACUAAUGUUUAGAACUGGAAAGAAAAAUGGCAAAAUAUUUAGAAAUGGAAAAUAUUUAGUUUAGAGAAAGUUUAGAAUGAGAGUAAAUGUUAUGUUUAGACCUGGAAAGAAAAAAAAGUUUAUGGCUUGAGAGAAAAAGGAGGUUGAAUACCUGAAGUUCACCAUUGAGUAAAGCAGUAAUUAGGCAGGUAGUUUCCAGAGCCAUCAUUCAAUUAACGAGAUCUUCCCCCACGCGGACAUGGAGCUCAUUAAUUAAGCGUCUUGAUUUCUUCGUAAACUCCAACUGUUAAUUAGGGCCAGUUAUAUCUUGUGGUGCGUGACCCGACCCGUGAUUCGUAAGGCUUUUAAUUGCUGAGCUGUGAGUGUAUGUGGUGGUGGUGGUGGUGGUGGUGGUGGCGGUAGUAGUAGUGGUGGUGGUGGUAGUAGUAGUAGUAGUAGUAGUAGUAGUAGUAGUAGUAGUAGUAGCAGCGGCGGUGGUGAUUGUGGUAAUAAUGGUCUAAUAAUAGUUAAAUCAAUUAAGAAAAAUAAAAGCUGUAACUUGUAUGUGUCAUUCUCUCUCUCUCUCUCUCUCUCUCUCUCUCUCUCUCUCUCUCUCUCUCUCUCUCUCUCUCUCUCUCUCUCUCUCUCUCUCUCUCUCUCUCCAAAACUCCAUAAUUCACUGCACUUACGGAAAAGAGGCGUUUCAUCCAUCUCAGUCUUACUCCUCCUCUUCCUCCUCUUCCUUCUUCUCUUCAAAACUUCUCCCAUCCAUUGUUGCCUCACGUUCCUUCCUUCCUUCCUUCCUGUCUUCCUUCCUUCCUUCCUUCCUGUCUUCCUUCCCCUGCACAUCGUCUGCUCUUCCUUUACAUUCCUUUGUGUCACCCCUCUCACCUGAGCCAAUAGUCUUUAAACGCCUUACUCUCUCAUUACCACCAUUUUCAAAGACCACAGGUAAUUGGUCAGGUAUAUGAGUGUUUCUUUUCUAAUUAACUACCCUGGAUCCCUUUUAAACUUUCACUGGAGGCAUGAAAACACACUUCAAAACCGCCAGUAACUUCCGCCUCAGCCUGUUUGAUUGAAGUAGCGGGGAUGAGAUGAGGUGUUCAUGAAUGCGGGUACUAAUUUGCUCAGUAAUCUUGCUUUCGUAGUGUGUGUGUGUGUGUGUGUGUGUGUGUGUGUGUGUGUGUGUGUGUGUGUGUGUGUGUGUGUGUGUGUGUGGAAUUAUUGAUCCUCUACACUCAACACUCACUCACUCUCUUGGUUUUGCAUUUUUCAUUCGUGUUCCAUUAAAAAUUUAUCUCUCUCUCUCUCUCUCUCUCUCUCUCUCUCUCUCUCUCUCUCUCUCUCUCUCUCUCUCUCUCUCUCUCUCUCUCUCUCUCCAAAUCGAAGCCCUUCCUCCUCCUUCAGAAUUUAAAAAGAACACGGAAGGUCGUGGAUAUGAAAUUGACGUGGCCUUCAGGUUGUCAUGUCCAGGGUGAAGGGGAGGAGUAGACGCGGGGAGGAGAAAGGAGGGAAAAGGAGGGAAGGAGAGAAAGCGAGGGGUGGGGAUGGGCACGCGGGAGGAGGAUGAGGGAUGGAAGGGUGUGGAGGAAUGAUAGGCGUUGAAGAAGGAUGGGAGUGGAGGGAAAGGAGGAGAAAAUAUGAGAAGGUAGGAAUUAGGAAGAGAUAGAAGGUAAGGGAGGGGGAAGGAGAGGAGGAAUGGACGUUGAGGGAGGGAAGGAGAGGUGAUGGGGAGAAGGGUGUUGGGAAGUGGAAAUAUUAAACGUGUUCAGAAUUAUUUAUUUUUCUUCUCCCCGUGUUUCUUCUCUCUUCCCCUUCCUCCUCCUUUCCCCAUUCCCGUAAACUCCUGCAAUUUUCUUCGUCUUCCUUUUUUUUUUAUUAACUUUCCACUUUUCUUUUUGUUAGGCGUUUCUUUUAACCCUCAAUUAUGCUUCUUCCUUUCUUCUUUCCCUCCCUCCCUCCCUUUCUUCUUCCCUUCCUUCUCUCUUUUCUUCCCUCUUUAAAUCCUUUACAUAUUCCUUCAUAUUCCAUUUUCUUUACGGCUCCGGUUAUAUCCUCUUCCUUUCUUUAAUUUCUCUCUCUCUCUCUCUCUCUCUCUCUCUCUCUCUCUCUCUCUCUCUCUCUCUCUCUCUCUCUCUCUCUCUCUCUCUCUCUCUCGCCUUAUGCAAAAAAGGGACAAGGGAGCGGAGGAAGAAAGGUCAGGGCGCAUGUAAACGAGGAAAGGCAAGGAAGUAAGAGUAGAUGUGUUGUAUGAAAGGAAUGAACGGAGAAAAGAUAGACACAGACAGACAGACAGACAGACAGACAGACAGACAGACA